rnacentral:misc_RNA from 1 species
UACGGAGAGCGCGAGCGUUACCCGGAAUUACUGGGCGUAGAGGGCGUGUAGGUGGCCGAGAGACCCACGUGUGAAAAGCUUCCGCUUACCGGGAGCCCUGCGCGUGGAAUUGCUCGGCUCGAGGGUGCUAGAGGUGAGCGGAAUUGCUGGAGUAGCGGUGAAAUGCGUUGAUAUCAGCAGGAACGCCGAAGGCGAAGGCAGCUCACUGGGGCACUCCUGACACUGAGGCGCGAAAGCCAGGGUAGCAAACGGG